AAAACCUCACCGGCUCCAGACAUCCCUGUAAGGCAAAGGCAAACAGAUGCUUGGUAACUGUGGAUCAUCAAGUCAAUUUCCAAGGGAAAGAAAGUGGCCACGUGUUCAGUUAUGGAAAACUUAAAAAUAAAUACUCAAUGACCUCUCUUUCAAGGAUGUCCUGCGGUUCUCUUGAUGACUUCUAAGACUGGACUUGGGCAAA